AACGCGAAGAACCUUACCAGGGUUUGACAUGCCUUUGCACCGCCGAGAGAUCGGCGUCCCUUCGGGGCGGAGGCACAGGUGCUGCAUGAGCUGUCGUCAGCUCGUGCCGUGAGGUGUUGGGUUAAGUCCCGCAACGAGCGCAACCCCUGUCGUCGGUUGCAGUGUUUCCGACGAGACUGCCGCGAUCAACGUGGAGGAAGGUGGGGAUGACGUCAAGUCAGCACGGCCCUUACAUCCUGGGCGACACACACGCUACAAUGGCUGGUACAACGGGCAGCCAACCCGCGAGGGGGAGCUAAUCCCAGCAAAACCAGUCUCAGUUCGGAUUAUAGGCUGCAACCCGCCUGCAUGAAGUUGGAGUUGCUAGUAACCGUGGGUCAGCACACCACGGUGAAUACGUUCCCGGGUCUGUACACACCG
rnacentral:rRNA from 1 species